UGUGUAGGCGGUUCUCUAAGUUUGGUGUGAAAUCUCCCGGCUCAACUGGGAGGGUGCGCCGAAAACUGGGGGGCUAGAGUGCGGGAUGGGUAAGUGGAAUUCCUGGUGUAGCGGUGAAAUGCGUAGAUAUCAGGAGGAACACCUGUGGUGUAGACGGCUUACUGGACCGCAACUGACGCUGAGACACGAAAGCGUGGGUAGAAC
rnacentral:rRNA from 1 species